AUCCCUCACCUUAGCUGCCUGAAAGCCAGGCUUCCACCAGGAGCCUUCAGAUGAAGAUGGAGAACUCUCAGCAACUUCUGCACCAUGCCUGCCUCGAUGCUGCCAUGCUCCUGCCUUGAUGAUAAUGGACUGAACCUCUGAACCUGUAAGCCAGCCCCCAAUUAAGUGUUGUCCUUAUAAGAGUUGCCUUGGUCAUGGUGUCAGUUCACAGCAGUAAAACCCUAACUAAGACAUCCUCUAAUGUAAUAAAAAGCUAUUUUUGUUAUUCCACAAUAUCCCUGCUUCCAGUUGAGAACUCCGAUCCUGUGUCGAGGCUGGACCCUGACGAAGAAGGAGAAGAUUUAAAGAGACACCUGCUCAUCACACAUCAUGGGGUACUGACAGACUAAAGAUACAAUUCUACCAGGUCCAGUUUGUUGAACUCAUAUAUUUUAUUGAGGCUAGAUACAGGAGUAACUGUGACUCAAAAACAGCUGAAUUACCAAAAGUCCCAUCCCAACAUGGAUCCGACUCAGUUAUGUGUGUGUGUGUGUGUGUGUGUAUGAAUGGCUUACAGGCUAUGGUCCAACUAGUCCAACAAUGAGUUAGUACUAAUGGAAUGUUCAAGAAUCCAGUAUUUGUUCAGUCCACCAGGCUAGAUGUCUCAGAUAACCUUCAGUUAUGCUGGAAUCCCAAAGAAGAAGGCUCUAAUAACAAUGAACGAAUGGACUUGCC
rnacentral:lncRNA from 1 species